rnacentral:lncRNA from 1 species
ACAGCCACACUCCACUCUGACCGAUGAAACCGGACCCAAUCGAACCGCCGCCGCUUUCUCUUCCUUUCCUGACCCGUACCUGCCCUUGGAACUGCUGUUUUUCCCCGGAAAACGCUCGAGAUCACGCUGGAGUUGACAAAACUUCCAAGCUUUCUUUCUCCUUCAUCCGGCCACUAAAUCGGACUAGUGAGGUAUGGUUUUCUAGCUAUUUUCCAUGCUCUAGCUGCUGGUUGGGUAGGAUUCCAGAAAUUCCAAGCGUAGACCGUUCGAUUUUUCAAUCUAGGUUUCAGCCGGUUUUGAGAGGGUGAUUCCGGCCACUUUUUAGGGUAGGUCCAAGAACAAAACUGGUUCCAAAAUGGGUGUUUUACCUAAGUUAGGAGUUUGGGCUGGCGGUUUGGAGUUUUUUCCGGCCGCCAGGAAUUUCUAAAGCCACCCACGCGCUGCCAGCGCGUGUGGCGGCCCGUGGGCUGUUUGAUGGGGACCACACUCAGUCCUAAAAUGAUCCUCGUGUUGUCACGAGCACGUAGGAAUUCGCGGAUCUUAAUUUGGAUAACGUAUGAACCCUGAACGGAUUUCGCAUCUUGUGUGAUUUCCGGGUUCAAUGGGUUCGAACCUUUGUUCGUGCGUUGGUGACCAAACCAACCGUCCGUUUGACACCAGACUCUUGGGACUUGUGUCCUAGGUUUAACAGAACAUUAAUGUGGGCAUAGGAGUAACUUUAAUUGGAUGCACGCACUUCUAGGAGUCGGGGGUUAGGGUUUUAUUUAAAUAUUUAUAUCAAGCAGUUUUAUUAAUAUAUAUUAUUAUGAUAAUUGAAUCAGGCACCUAGGCACCAGUUGACCCGC